GACGAACGCUGGCGGCGUGCUUAACACAUGCAAGUCGAACGGUGAAGCUCCAGCUUGCUGGAGUGGAUCAGUGGCGAACGGGUGUGUAACACGUGAGCAACCUGCCCCUGACUCUGGUAUAAGCGCUGGACACGGCGUCUAAUACUGGAUACGAGACGGGUCCGCGUGGGCACUUUCUGGAAAGUUUUUCGGUUGGGGAUGGUCUCGCGGCCUCUCAGCUUGUUGGUGAGGUAAUGGCUCACCAAGGCGACGACGGGUAGCCGGCCUGAGAGGGCGACCGGCCACACUGGGACUGAGACACGGCCCAGACUCCUGCGGGAGGCAGCAGUGGGGAAUAUUGCACAAUGGGCGAAAGCCUGAUGCAGCGACGCCGCGUGAGGGAUGACGGCCUUCGGGUUGUAAACCUCUUUCAGCAGGGAAGAAGCGAAAGUGACGGUACCUGCAGAAGAAGCACCGGCUAACUACGUG
rnacentral:rRNA from 1 species